CUGGCAGUGGGGAAGGAUCUCUUCUGGAGAUCCCUCCUUUGGAGUUUUACAGCAAGCCCAGGACAAGGGUCCUCGAUGAAGAGAUUUGACCAAGUAAGGAGUUCUGUCUGUCAGACAAAGACUUGCCAACAUUUGUGGUGAAAUAAUCUGCUCUGUUUGGAGACUGCAGGAAAAAUCCUUUCUGUACAGCUGAGCAACCUGUAGGAGCUGCAUAGAACAUACAGCUGGUUCCAGUAGCACAGCCAGCUGACUGCUGAGAGCUUCUUGUGGAGGGAUGCUGUGCCUGCGGCCUGCAGAGAAUUUCGCCCUUCAAAACAUUGCACAGUUGACCUGCAGAACGAGAUCACCGUGGCUGUUAGCAGUUGCAGUGCUUCUUUAUGCCUGGUGACCUCUGUUUCCACGUGCCCAGCUCCCAGAAGUGCCCAUCCAGUGAAGCACCGAGUGCUUAGGGCUCAGCAGCCGUUCCAUGGUGACCUGAAGCUCCUUCUGACAAAGCUGAAGUCACAAGAUGAUGGUGGCACUGGAUAUUCCUUGCAGCUCUUGCCUUUGCUAACACUUCUUAAAGUAACAAGAUACUGCUUACUUAAAAAAAAAAAAAUAAUUAAAGGCAUCAUUUGUGCUGUAAAUACUCCUCUAAAAUAAUAGGAUAAAAUAUAAAAGUAGUAUCACUCAGCUGUACUUAUUUUCUAUGUUCAAAAUCUGACAGAGGUGUGUAUGAAGCAAAUGCAAGGAUAGGAGAGCAUUAUACUUUCAGGUUUUCUAUUUAAUUUGUCCUGGAAAUGACUUUUGCCAUUCUACACAGAUGAAUGUCAAAGCAGAUAUCUUAACAAAAUCAAUACUGAUAUAAUUUUGAAUUUGUUUGACUUCCUCUUCUUCCACAAACACAACAGGAAAGUGAGUGGAACUCUUCAGUCUAAAGGAUGUGUGAGCUGGACUCCGACAUAUGAUGUUUAAGUUAGAUGCCACUUUAUACCAGGACAGUUUGCAUUUAUUUGUUACCUUCCAUUGAGAGAAAGCAUUGUGUCUAAACAAAAUGAUCAUUAUGCUU